rnacentral:rRNA from 1 species
GACGAACGCUGGCGGCGUGCUUAACACAUGCAAGUCGAACGCUGAAGACCUGGCUUUGGUUGGGUUGGAUGAGUGGCGAACGGGUGAGUAACACGUGAGUAACCUGCCCUCUUGUUUGGGAUAACGUCCGGAAACGGGUGCUAAUACCGGAUAUUCACUUAUCUCCGCAUGGGGGAGGGUGGAAGGGGUUGUUCCGGUGGGGGAUGGGCUCGCGGCCUAUCAGUUUGUUGGUGGGGUGAUGGCCUACCAAGGCUUUGACGGGUAGCCGGCCUGAGGGGGGGACCGGUGACAUUGGAACUGCGCUACGGCCCAGAGGACGACGGGAGGCGGCAGUGUGGAAUAUUGCGCAAUGGCCGAACGCCUGAUGCAGCGACGCCGCGUGAGGGAUGGAGGCCUUCAGGUUGUAAUCCUCUUUCACUCAUGGUCAAGCCGCAAAUGGGGCUUGUGGUGACGGUAGUGAGUAAAGAAGCGACGGCUAACUACGUG